rnacentral:rRNA from 1 species
GCUUAACACAUGCAAGUCGAGGGGCAGCAUGGUCUUAGCUUGCUAAGGCCGAUGGCGACCGGCGCACGGGUGAGUAACACGUAUCCAACCUGCCGUCUACUCUUGGACAGCCUUCUGAAAGGAAGAUUAAUACAAGAUGGCAUCAUGAGUCCGCAUGUUCACAUGAUUAAAGGUAUUCCGGUAGACGAUGGGGAUGCGUUCCAUUAGAUAGUAGGCGGGGUAACGGCCCACCUAGUCUUCGAUGGAUAGGGGUUCUGAGAGGAAGGUCCCCCACAUUGGAACUGAGACACGGUCCAAACUCCUACGGGAGGCAGCAGUGAGGAAUAUUGGUCAAUGGGCGAGAGCCUGAACCAGCCAAGUAGCGUGAAGGAUGACUGCCCUAUGGGUUGUAAACUUCUUUUAUAAAGGAAUAAAGUCGGGUAUGGAUACCCGUUUGCAUGUACUUUAUGAAUAAGGAUCGGCUAACUCCGUGCCAGCAGCCGCGGUAAUACGGAGGAUCCGAGCGUUAUCCGGAUUUAUUGGGUUUAAAGGGAGCGUAGAUGGAUGUUUAAGUCAGUUGUGAAAGUUUGCGGCUCAACCGUAAAAUUGCAGUUGAUACUGGAUAUCUUGAGUGCAGUUGAGGCAGGCGGAAUUCGUGGUGUAGCGGUGAAAUGCUUAGAUAUCACGAAGAACUCCGAUUGCGAAGGCAGCCUGCUAAGCUGCAACUGACAUUGAGGCUCGAAAGUGUGGGUAUCAAACAGGAUUAGGUACCCUGGUAGUCCACACGGUAAACGAUGAAUACUCGCUGUUUGCGAUAUACUGCAAGCGGCCAAGCGAAAGCGUUAAGUAUUCCACCUGGGGAGUACGCCGGCAACGGUGAAACUCAAAGGAAUUGACGGGGGCCCGCACAAGCGGAGGAACAUGUGGUUUAAUUCGAUGAUACGCGAGGAACCUUACCCGGGCUUAAAUUGCAGAUGAAUUACGGUGAAAGCCGUAAGCCGCAAGGCAUCUGUGAAGGUGCUGCAUGGUUGUCGUCAGCUCGUGCCGUGAGGUGUCGGCUUAAGUGCCAUAACGAGCGCAACCCUUGUUGUCAGUUACUAACAGGUUCCGCUGAGGACUCUGACAAGACUGCCAUCGUAAGAUGUGAGGAAGGUGGGGAUGACGUCAAAUCAGCACGGCCCUUACGUCCGGGGCUACACACGUGUUACAAUGGGGGGUACAGAGGGCCGCUACCACGCGAGUGGAUGCCAAUCCCCAAAACCUCUCUCAGUUCGGACUGGAGUCUGCAACCCGACUCCACGAAGCUGGAUUCGCUAGUAAUCGCGCAUCAGCCACGGCGCGGUGAAUACGUUCCCGGGCCUUGUACACACCGCCCGUCAAGCCAUGGGAGCCGGGGGUACCUGAAGUGCGUAACCGCGAGGAGCGCCCUAGGGUAAAACUGGUGACUGGGGCUAAGUC